CUGACUUCAAGCCAAGGGCUCAUCAUCUUGAAUUGCGCACGAAUUUUUACACAGCGCCAAAGGAAACUGCCUGUACUUACUGUUGUAGGUGCUUUGCUGGAUUCAGGAUGCAGACAAGGUCCACGCACUGUGGUUGGUUCAGUCCCGGAGCAGACACAGCCCUGUUUGCAGAGAGCCAACAUUCUAAUUGACAGUGCGUGGUGGGAAACAGUGAACCGAGGGAA